UAAGGUCUUGGUCUUAAACCUAAUAUUGCCUACCCCCAUACUUAUACAUGCAAGCCUCACCACAACAGUGAAAUAGCCCAUUUUAACACUACCGGAGCAGAUAUCAGGCAUUCCGCCCAAAACAUCAAGCAACCUAGCCACACCCCCACAGGGCCAGCAGCAGUACUUAAUAUUAGGCCAUAAGCGCAAGCUUGACCUAAUAAAGGGACCACCUUUCGGGUUGGUUAAUCUCGUGCCAGCGACCGCGGUUAUACGAUAAACCCAAAACAAUACCUGCGGCGUAAAACACGACUAAAUCAACGUCACCAAUUAGAACAGAAGCUAACCAAGGCCGUAAAAAGCCAUAAGCCCCCCUAACAAUCUAACUACAGACAACUUCAACUCGUGAAAGCAAGGACACAAACUAAGAUUAGAUACCUUACUAUGCCUAGCCAUAACACAAUAAUUAAAUUACUAAUUAUUCGCCAAAUAACUACGAGUAAAAACUUAAAACUUAAAAGACUUGACGGUGUCUCACAACAACCUAGAGGAGCCUGUCUACUAACCGAUACCCCACGAUUAACCCAACCCUUUCUAGCCAACAGUCUAUAUACCACCGUCGCCAGCUUACCUUAUGAAAGAAAUACAGUGAGCUAAACAAUCAAACAUUAACACGACAGGUCGAGGUGUAACUUAUGAAGGGGAAAAAGAUGGGCUACAUUUUCUAAAACAGAAAAUACGGACAAACUACGAAACAAGAAACUGAAGGCGGAUUUAGCAGUACAUUAAGAAUAAAACACCUAAUAGAAACCAACGCAAUGAGACGCGUACACACCGCCCGUCAUCCCUGCAAACAACAACAUACAUCUAUAAACCUACUACCUACAAACCCAGGGCAAGUCGUAACAUGGUAAACGUACUGGAAAGUGCGCUUAGAA
rnacentral:ncRNA from 1 species